rnacentral:rRNA from 1 species
GAGGGGGAUAACGGUUGGAAACGACCGCUAAUACCCCAUAUGCCUACUGGUGAAACGAAUUUCGCCUGAGGAUGAGCUCGCGUCUGAUUAGCUAGUUGGUGAGGUAAUGGCUCACCAAGGCUUCGAUCAGUAGCUGGUCUGAGAGGAUGAUCAGCCACACUGGGACUGAGACACGGCCCAGACUCCUACGGGAGGCAGCAGUGGGGAAUUUUCCGCAAUGGGGGAAAGCCUGACGGAGCAACG